GUGCUAAGGUAGCAUAAUCAUUUGUUAUCUAAAUGAUAACUAGUAUGAAUGGUCUGACGAGAAAAUAACUUUCUAAAAAGAAAUAAUAAAAAUUUAUCUUAAAGUAAAAAAGCUUUAAAAACUUAGAAAGACGAGAAGACCCUAGAACCUGUCUAUCUGCAUAGUUUGUUGGGGUGACAUUAUUUUAAAACAAAUAACUAUUUUAACUCAUUAAGAGACUUAACCUAUCUUUUAAAAAAAAGAAAAAGGUACUCUAGGGAUAACAGCAUAAUCUUCUUUUAGAGCCCUAAUCGACAAGAAAGAUUUUGACCUCGAUGUUGAAUUGAUAUUCCUUCUUAAAGCAGAAUUUCUA
rnacentral:rRNA from 1 species